UGUCUACUUCCGUCAUUACCAAACUAUAUUGUUUUUUCACUCAUGCAGGAUGACCUUACAGAAGCACAGGAAACUGCACCUUCACAAUGUCUACAUGUGGACCCAGUGAUUCUUCUUCAGCAGACACUAUUCUCUAUGACAGCAUUAAGAAAGAAAUAUAAAGGUCCGCGUCUGCCUCGGUGCGGGCGGGCGAGCGCGCGCGGACCCCGCACAGGCGGCGGAGCCGGUAUGGGCCCGCCCGGCCCUGGGUGCCGCGCCGCACGAGCACCAGCCUAGAACCAGGACUGAAGCUUCAAAAUGACUGACCAGGAUCCUGGGGGCAUCAGCCCCCUCCAGCAAUGGUGGCCUCAGGCGCUGGGGCGGUGGUCACCUCCCUCUUCAUGACACCCCUAGACGUGGUGAAGGUUCGCCUGCAGUCUCAGCGGCCUUCCGUGGCCAGCGAGCUGACGCCUUCCUCCAGACUGUGGAGCCUCUCCUAUACCAAAUUGCCCUCCUCUCUCCAUUCCACAGGGAAGUGCCUCCUGUACUGCAAUGGUGUUCUGGAGCCCCUGUACCUGUGCCCAAAUGGUGCCCGCUGUGCCACCUGGCUUCAAGACCCUACCCGCUUCACUGGCACCAUGGACACCUUCGUGAAGAUCGUGAGGCACGAGGGCACCCGGACCCUCUGGAGCGGCCUCCCCGCCACCCUGGUGAUGACUGUGCCAGCUACUGCCAUCUACUUCACUGCUUAUGACCAACUCAAGGCCUUCCUGUGUGGUCGAGCCCUGACCUCUGAGCUCUACGCACCCAUGGUGGCUGGCGCGCUGGCCCGCUUGGGCACCGUGACUGUGAUCAGCCCCCUGGAGCUCAUGCGGACAAAGCUGCAGGCUCAGCACGUGUCGUACCAGGAGCUGGGUGCCUGUGUUCGAACUGCUGUGGCUCAGGGUGGCUGGCGCUCGCUGUGGCUGGGCUGGGGUCCCACUGCCCUUCAAGAUGUGCCCUUCUUAGCCCUAUACUGGUUCAACUAUGAGCUGGUGAAGAGAUGGCUGAAUGGGCUCAGGCCAAAGGACCAGACUUCUGUGGGCAUGAGGUUUGUGGCUGGUGGCAUCUCAGGGACGGUGGCUGCCGUGCUGACUCUACCCUUUGACGUGGUGAAGACCCAACGCCAGGUUGCACUGGGAGCGAUGGAGGCUGUGAGAGUGACACCCCUGCACGUGGACUCCACCUGGCUGCUGCUGCGGAGGAUCCGGGCCGAGUCGGGCACCAGGGAACUCUUUGCAGACUUCCUUCCUCGGAUCAUCAAGGCUGCCCCCUCCUGCGCCAUCAUGAUCAGCACCUAUGAGUUCGGCAAAAGCUUCUUCCAGAGGCUUAACCAGGACCGGCUUCUGGGCGCCUGAAAGGGGCAGGGAAGCAAGGACCCCGGCUCUCCACGGAUGGGGAGAGGGCAGGAGGAGACCCAGCCAAGUGCCUUUUCCCCAGCACUGAGGGAGGGGACUUGUUUACCUUCCCUCCUGGUGACAAGCCCAAGGGCAGGGCUGCCCCUCUGGGUGGCCCUGGCCUUCCUCAGAUGCAGCUUCUUCCUGCUGUUCCAGUCGUGGGGAUCAUGACUUUCCCACCCCCCAAGUUCAAGACCAAAUCUUCCCGCUGCCCCCUUCAUGUUUCCCUGUGUUUGCUGUAGCUGGGCCUGUUUCCAGGAGCCAAGAAACCCUCAGCCUGGUGUAGUCUCCCUGACCCUUGUUAAUUCCUAAAUCUAAAGAUGAUGAACUUC